rnacentral:lncRNA from 1 species
GAAAUCUCAUCCUAUGUGGUAUCAUGCUCAGGUUUAAGGUCCAAGAUUUCAUCAUCUGUGACAUAAUAAGAAAUACACACAUAAGCACAUAUACACAGGCAUAUAUGCAUUUACAUAUACACACGUGUGUGUGUAUGUAUGUAUAUGAAGUUUUCUCUCUCCCUGAUUCCUGACACAGAGCUCCUAAAACACUAAUUGCCUGAUUGAUAGGAGUGAUAGAAGCAUCUUUUCUUACAAUAUUUGAUCUUGGCCCCCAGUUCCUGACAUAAGAGCUGCUAAGACCCUUGGAAUCUCCAUAGCUUCAAGAGAUCACAAGAAAGACCAAGGCAUGAUUAGAGAAUUGGAAGUUUCAGUCCUACCCUGAGACCUUCAGAGAGGGGCUUGAGAUUGAACUAAUUACUAACAGCCAAUGGUUUAAUCAAUCCUUCUACAUAAUGGAACCUCCUUAGAAGUCCCCAAAUGAUGGCAUUUGGAGAGCUUCUGGGCUAAUGAAUGCAUCCAUCUGCUGGGAGGUGGUGCACCCAAACUCUACACGGACAGAGGCUCCUUUGCUUGGGACCCUUCCCUACCUCCCCCAUGUACCCCUUCUUCUGACUAUUCAUCUGUGUUCCCCAUAAUCUCCUCUAUAUUAAACUGAAAUAGUAAAUAAACUGUUUCCCUGGGUUCUGUAAGC